rnacentral:rRNA from 1 species
AUUGAACGCUGGCGGCAUGCUUUACACAUGCAAGUCGAACGGUAACAGGCCGCGAGGUGCUGACGAGUGGCGAACGGGUGAGUAAUGCAUCGGAACGUGCCCAGUCGUGGGGGGUAACUACUCGAAAGAGUAGCUAAUACCGCAUACGAUCUAUGGAUGAAAGCGGGGGACCGUAAGGCCUCGCGCGAUUGGAGCGGCCGAUGUCAGAUUAGGUAGUUGGUGGGGUAAAGGCUCACCAAGCCAACGAUCUGUAGCUGGUCUGAGAGGACGACCAGCCACACUGGGACUGAGACACGGCCCAAACCCCUACGGGAGGCAGCCGUGGGGAAUUUUGGACAAUGGGCGCAAGCCUGAUCCAGCAAUGCCGGGUGCAGGAAGAAGGCCUUCGGGUUGUAAACUGCUUUUGUACGGAACGAAACGGCUCUGGUUAAUACCCGGGGCUAAUGACGGUACCGUAAGAAUAAGCACCGGCUAACUACGUGC